GGGAGCGGCAAACAGGGUGAGUAACGCGUGGGAACGUACCUUUUGCUACGGAAUAACUCAGGGAAAACUUGUGCUAAUACCGUAUGUGCCCUUCGGGGGAAAGAUUUAUCGGCAAAGGAUCGGCCCGCGUUGGAUUAGCUAGUUGGUGAGGUAAAGGCUCACCAAGGCGACGAUCCAUAGCUGGUC
rnacentral:rRNA from 1 species